rnacentral:lncRNA from 1 species
UUUAAAACUAAUUGAUCAUAACUGGUUACAGAUUUAUUUGUUCUCUCUCUACUUCCAUUGCUUCACUUGACUAGCCUUGAAAGAAAGAAAGGAGAGAGGAAAAGAAAGAAAGAAAAAGAAAGAAAGAAGGAAAGAAAGAAAGAAAGAAAGAAAGAAAGAAAGAAAGAAAGAAAGAAAGAAAGAAAAAGACAGAAAAGAAAAGAAAGAGAAAGAGGAAGUGUGGAUCUUGGAUCGUGACAUCAGCAAGGAAUCAAUGCAUUUCCUUCUGCCUGCCGAAAGGAAACGAAUGCCAUCUGCAUCAUCUUUUAAACCAUAAUGUGUAUCUCUUAGCAAAGCAAAGCACAAAGAUUGGAAUAUUGAGCAUUUCAGCAAAGAGCCAAGAAAUGAAUUUGUAUGAAGCAAAUCUAUAAAGGAGAGCAGUAGAGGUGAAAAUAUCAUGGAAAAGGCAAGCGCUUUGACUAGUAAACUCAUCGAGUUGAGACAAGUGUGAAAACUCAUUACAACCUGAAUUUCUCCCACAUCUCAGUUUCUCCUCCCUUUUAAACUUCCUAAUAGAAAAAGUUGAAUUCAUGUUAUUGGCACCACCACUAUUUGCCCUCACUUCCAUCAAAAAAAGAAAAAAUAAAUUAGAGGUAGCUCCUUUUCCACGUUUAUUUUAAUCUAGAAUGUUGUGAUCCCUCAGGAUUUAUUUUAUGGCUUCUCAAAAGACCAAAUCUUGGAAAUCUCAUUCUUAAACCCAUGGGAAAUAUAUCUAUUUCUACUCUGCGCAGGUGAAUUGA